UACGUAGGGGGCGAGCGUUGUCCGGAUUUAUUGGGCGUAAAGAGCUCGUAGGCGGCUUCGUAAGUCGGGUGUGAAAACCCCAGGCUCAACCUGGGGAUUGCAUUCGAUACUGCGAUAGCUAGAGUCUGGUAGGGGAUCACGGAAUUCCUGGUGUAGCGGUGAAAUGACGCAGAUAUCAGGAGGAACACCGGUGGCGAAGGCGGUGAUCUGGGCCAGCACUGACGCUGAGGAGCGAAAGCGUGGGUAGCAAACAGG
rnacentral:rRNA from 1 species